rnacentral:rRNA from 1 species
AUUGAACGCUGGCGGCAGGCCUAACACAUGCAAGUCGAACGAGUGGCGGACGGGUGAGUAAUGUCUGGGAAACUGCCCGAUGGAGGGGGAUAACUACUGGAAAAGGUAGCUAAUACCGCAUACUAUCGGAUGUGCCCAGAUGGGAUUAGCUAGUGGGUGGGGUAACGGCUCACCUAGGCUACGAUCCGUAGCUGGUCUGAGAGGAUGACCAGCCACACGAGAACGGUGAAACGGCCCAGACUCCUACGGGAGGCAGCAGUGGGGAAUAUUGCACAAUGGGCGCAAGCCUGAUGCAGCCAUGCCGCGUGUAUGAAGAAGGCCUUCGGGUUGUAAAGUACUUUCAGCGUGGAGGCGUUACUCGCAGAAGAAGCACCGGCUAACUCCGUGCCAGCAGCCGCGGUAAUAC